GGCGGAGGAGGUGGAUUUGGU
rnacentral:siRNA from 1 species